rnacentral:rRNA from 1 species
UACGAAGGGGGCUAGCGUUGUCCGGAAUCAUUGGGCGUAAAGAGCGUGUAGGCGGUUCAGUAAGUCUGCUGUGAAAGUCCAAGGCUCAACCUUGGAAAGCCGGUGGAUACUGUGAGGCUAGAGUACGGAAGAGGCGAGUGGAAUUCCUGGUGUAGCGGUGGAAUGCGCAGAUAUCAGGAGGAACACCAAUAGCGAAGGCAGCUCGCUGGGACGUUACUGACACUGAGGCGCGAAAGCGUGGGGAGCGAACAGG